UGCCGCAUUCAUUAUCUGUUAUACCCACCUCUUCAGUUUCUUUGUUUAUGGCUAUAACUCCCAUAGUGGUGAUUACAAUUGACAGUACAAUUCAUUUCUCAUCUUCCUACUCUCUCUAUCUUUUCAAAUCCAAACUACGAUGGUGUGGUUGCUCUGGCGAUGAUUCAAACCAUGACUACAGAUCUGAAAAUUAAUUCAAGACGGAUUCAGAGGCAACAUUCAAGUAUGCUGCUGUUUACUUUCCUUUCUACAGAUUUAGGGCAGAGUAUUGAAUAAUCAUCAAUUCGUUUUCAAUGAGUGGAUGGUUUUUAGUAGUUGCCGAUGAUUUCUCUGUUCCUUUCUUGCUCUUAGAAGUUGCGACUGAUUACCUUGUUUAUUAACUCCGGCAACAAAACUGGUGUCUGGGAUAGGUUUUUGUGGAGAUUUCAUUUUCUAGCUUUGAAGUUGGAAAGAUGGAUUGGAAUUUGAAUUAUCAGAUUCGAAGUCGCUCUCGCAUCAUCAGAAGGUCUUUUAAAGAGAUGUGAUUGAACAGUUUAAUGAAUCCAGAUCAUCAUUGCUCGCCCAGACUUCCUGUUUGGCUCUUGAAGAGAUCAAACUCAAUUUUAUCGACACAUAAUCAAAAUUCGGUCCUGGUCGUUUCCAAACUACAGAAGGCAUAAAAACAGAUUCUGUAUCGGUUAAGGUGAUGUCACAGGUUAUUCACAACUACAACUUCACACAAAUGGGCUUUUGGAGGUGUGACCCUUUUUUACUCUUCCUUUGGUGAUUUUAAUAGAUUCCAACAAAGAAAUGCAGUUUUCUUGUUAUCAAUUUUCUUAUGGUUCAUUAGCAUCAUGCAUUUAAAUUGUUUUUAGACCUUUAAGAUGGCAAAACGUGCGGGUGGGUUGGUUGUGUAACGGGUCAAAUGGGUUUGGGUAAAAACCUAAGGCUAUGGUGAUUUAAUUUGCUUUCAUUUUAAACGAUUCUCAUUUGGUGACGGGAAGACAAUGAUUUAAGAAAGCCAUGCAUGUCUUAGGUUUAAGGUGGAUAAUCUUGUUAGGUCUUUAACUGUUUAACAAGUGUCUAUUUUGUUUGUGGUGUUUAUGCUAGCGAGUAUAAGAUAUAUGUAGAGGGGUAGGCAUGGUCUGUAAGCUUAAAGUAUUUACGGUCAUGUGGUAUUGUUUUGCUUAUAAUCAACCAGAAUUACAAGGAGUUCUCAGCUGAGGUCCUUUGCCAAAAGAAAAUUACAAGCCUAUCUCUCAUGAAAACAUAUGCCCGUCCGUUAAAACUGCAGUCGAAUGGGAGCAUUCACAUCCAUCAGAGGCCUCAUCUCUGCUCAAAAUAAGCCUUGCUCGAGCUCGAGCUCUACUAAAUUAAAUGACAUCGACUUGUUUAUACCGAUACGCAAAGGUGAGUUAAAGUCGUAGGUCAUCUGAAUGGGUGUGGCUUCCUCAUCGGACAGAGAGGCUACCGAUGGGAUGUGUUAAUAAGGAAAUCGUUUGCGGCUACGCACGGCUGCUAACAAAAAACGGAAGAGAGCGGGAGAUCCAGGGUUCGGUCGACGGUUUCAUGGUAACUCAAUUCUGAUUUUUACUCUCUUUGCAAAAAUUUCAUUAUUUCUAUUAUGAAUUCAAGCUAAUGUAGUCACGAGUGUUCAAGCUUUUGGUUUAUUUUGUGUAGCUUUUAAAUGUUUGUAUUAUACUGUUUUGCUGAAUGACCUUGAAAUCAGGUGGUGGUGGUGCUGUGCUCGUUGGUACUUAGGGAAAACUACUUGACACUGAUGAUGAAUCUCAUAUUGACCACAAUGACUUUCAUCUGCUUAUUUUUAGUAAUUAGAUUAUAUAAGUUUUUAGCAUGCUCAUGUGAUUGCCUUUAUGGUCUUGUAAUCUAGGAGGCGCCAUAUCAACUUGUGGGGUCAUUUUCUGACCCGUUGGACGAGUACAAAAGAAAGGUGGAUUUAGCAGCAUCUAAACUCAGGGAACUCAGGUCGUCAUCUGAAUACUAAGAGGCUUGUAUCAAUGCCCAUGGAUAGGCAUGACAUGGAGAAAGAAAAGCUAUUUAUUCUGAUGCCAUCAGUUCUAAACAAAUCAAGCAAGGCAUUUUCAUGCUUCUUGAGUCUGAUGAUGACCUGGAAGUUAACAUGCUCGAUACUGGCCAGUAGGCAUGUAAAGGAUGCUACUGGUAAACCAUAUAUGUGGCUGUUGCUGCGGAACAAAGAGCUAUUAUACAUUUGACAAAAAGUAUGUUAUUCUAACAAUAAUCUAAGUUUUUAUGGACAUGAUAUAGGAGGUUUUUAUGCAUUGAAAAUACACCAUUGGGGACUUUUGAUCUAUUUAACCAAUUUCAUAUUUUGCAACUUUUUAUUUUAAAUUUACCCUUGUAACCUAUUUUAUGCAUUAAUAAUCUAUAAUCAACCAAUCCAUUUAGCUUAGAUGCUUGACCCGUUUGUCAUUGAAUGGGGUCGACUGAAUGGGAUGUUUUCAGCCCCCCCCCCCCCCAAUCGUGUGCCGUUUUGCGUUCCAUCAAGUGAAGGAAAGAUGUUGGCCAGACAUAUAUUGUGAUCGAUGAUGAAAGAUUUGUUUGCCAGAGGAUUCAGGAAGAAAUGUUCAUAAAGGUAUGCCUAUUUUCGAAUUUCGUUUGAUGUAAGUGCAUCUUCUACGCUCUUUUCGUUUAUAUAGUUCAUUAAGUAUUGGGACCAAAUCAAAGCAUGCGUUUUUUUAAUCUGACCAAGUUAGCUUAGUUGAGUUGUAACGCCCAGAAGUUGAAAAAUACCAACAUUCGGCUGCCACCCGAAGUUCCGAACCUGAGCUUAGACGGGUGAACUUAAAGCUAAAGCUCGAAGGCAAACUUUUAGUUUUUGUCAAAAUGGGUUGUUUUGACCCGUCAACAUUUUUUUAGUUUUUAUUAAAAUAAUAGACUAAAUCCUGGUGAUUGUUAUAAGAAGACUUUAUAGUAUCACUAAGUCGGUACAUCCAACAUGGCAACAUACAAUUUUAGAAUUCCAUGAAGGCUACAAGGUAACCUCUACUUUAUAAAUCAUUUUUUUAUGUAUAGUUCCUUAAAGAAAUGGUGCCAGUUGUGUUCAUUUAGUUGCAUAUAUUUAUACACAGUUACAAAAUUGCAAUAAGGUUUAACUCAUUUGUUUUUUUCCAUAAGUGUAUAACAAGUUGAUUUAUGGAUGAAGCUAUAAUGAUUUAAUUUGCUUUGCUUUCGGUUUAGAUGAUUUCCAAUUGUUAAUAAUCGGAGGACAUUGAUUUAAGAAAGCCAUGACUGCCUUGGAUUUAAAGUGGGUAAUUUUGUAUGAUUAAGUCUUUUAAUUGUUUAUCAACUGUUUAUUUUGUUUGUCCAGAUGUUGGCUUGGAUUGAAGUGUAGAUUACAAGAUAUAGGUUACAUCACUUUGAUAAUGUAUUUUUGUAGUUAAGUUGGGAGUUUUAAAAAUAUUUUGUAACCGUUGUCUAAUA